rnacentral:misc_RNA from 1 species
GAGGAGCAUAUUCUCUCCUCCAAAGUUAGGUUCCUCCUCUCCUGGAGGAGAGAAUAUGCUCCUCCAUCUGGCAUAACCUACACUAACCUAACUUUCAUACCCAAAUGCGACAAGUACUUAUCAAUCAUUCCCACGCUUCGUACCGACAGGUUCAGAUUUAUGGAACAAUUACAAUACAGUUUUCAAACUUUCGCACAUAUAAAUACUUAUCGUACAUAUGAACGUAAUUUCUUGUUUAAUAUUAAUAUAAAAUUCUGACUCAUAAAAUUCCCCUUCUUCCUAAUGCAAGCCAGCCGCGAUAAAAAAUGAAUCAAACAGUUUCUGAUGCGAAGCGCGUAUACGUGUACGUCUUGUUGUUACGUUCCAAUCCCGCCUUGCGACUAUUAACGAUAAGUACAGCACUGUACCUGUCACAGAAUUGACUAGGAAUUACUCUUGAUACUAUGACACUAUCACAUUUAGCUUUAGUUUCGAGUAAUUUGUGCAUGUUAUCUUGUGGCAUUUCCUUUGCGUGGGCAUUUCCAUCGUUAUUUGCUUUAGAACAAGUUAAUAACCCCCUUCAACAUUUAUGGAUUACAUUAAGUUACUACAUUGGUGGAAUAAUAGGUUCUAUUUGCUGUAGUUACUUAUUAAAUGCAGUCGGUCGAAAAUGGUCUUUGCUCAUCGCGACGAUAACAGGAAUGGUAGGAUGGAUGAUGAUUGCUUUUGCAACAUCGAAACAGGUAUUCGCGAUGGGAAGAUACAUGGCCGGAAUAAGUACGAGUUUUGGAUACAUAUCUGCUAUUAUAUAUGUGGGUGAGACAUCGCCAGCUAAUGUACGAGGAAUAUCAACGUCCACGUUGAUCGUGGCGGCAAAUAUCGGCAUGUACAUCAAAUGGACGAUAAGUUCGUAUUUAUCAACGAUAAGCAUGGUAUUGGUGUCAACUAUAGCACCUAUUCUCUUGCUCUUAAGUAUUUCAUGGGCACCGGAAUCCCCAUAUUUUUUAAUGCAACGAGGAAAACAUCUCGAGGCGAUUCUGUCGCUCGUGGCAUUACGAGAAAGCGCGGAUGUUGGCGAAGAGGCUGACACAAUCGAGAGAUCCAUGAAAACAGAUCUAGCCAAUACUAGAAACUUGUGUGAAACUGGUAAUCGCAACUAUUUAUAACCAAUCAGGAAGUCAUAUAACCGUAUCUUAUUGUUAGAUUAUGAAGUGGGCAGAGAAACAGACAGUUUCAUGAAUGAUAAGAUAUAAUGCCACAGUAAAUGUUACAAGUGAACAUAUACAUGAAAAUAAGUGACAUGCAUAUGGCAUUAAUUACUGUGCUGAGUCUUAUGGUAAUUGAACAAUGGAGUGGUCAGAUGAUCCUAUGGGACACCUUUAUCUCU